rnacentral:rRNA from 1 species
GAAUCAACUUUACUAACGGCGUAAAGGGUGGUAACAUGAUAUCCGAGUAACUAAGAUUAAAAUGCAACUAAGCUGUCAUAAGCUCAUGAUGCCCAUAAGGCCAACUCCCAAAGAAGAUCUUAGUCCAACGAUUAAUUGAAAUCCACGAAAAUCAGGGCCCAAACUGGGAUUAGAUACCCCACUAUGCCUGAUCCUAAAUCNUGAGGCUCUACAUCUACCCGAGCCUCCGCCCGAGAACUACGAGCAUAAACGCUUAAAACUCUAAGGACUUGGCGGUGCCUCAAACCCACCUAGAGGAGCCUGUUCUGUAAUCGAUGAUCCACGAUAUACCUGACCAUUUCUCGCNAAUCAGCCUAUAUACCGCCGUCGCCAGCUCACCCCCACUGAAGGACCAACA